rnacentral:rRNA from 1 species
UACGGAGGAUUCAAGCGUUAUCCGGAUUUAUUGGGUUUAAAGGGUGCGUAGGCGGUCGGAUAAGUUAGAGGUGAAAUCCCAAGGCUCAACCUUGGAACUGCAUUUGAAACUGUUGGUCUUGAGUAUCGGAGAGGCAGGCGGAAUUCCUAGUGUAGCGGUGAAAUGCGUAGAUAUUAGGAGGAACACCAGUGGCGAAGGCGGCCUGCUGGACGACAACUGACGGUGAGGCGCGAAAGCGUGGGGAGCAAACAGG